CCUAACAUAGCCAUAAAUCAGAGAAAUGACCCAGUUGUAGAUUACUUGCAGCAAAUAUGUACACGUUUAACAGAGCAGCUGCAGCGUCUCUAGUUGCUGUCCUGAGGUAAUAGUUUAACCUCUGUGUCAGCCACACAUCAGACACUGACAGCAGACAGAAAGAAACGCAUGUCUGCCACCAGGAGACAAUGCUAACUAUGAAAAUGUCUGUCUACUGUGUUGUCUGCCACUGCUUCAUAACAACUUUUACAUUUCCAUAAUAGCUGAAUGGACUAACCUCAAGUCACCUCAGACAUACUCAGGUAAAAUCAUCAACAAAAGCACAGAAAGGUCAAACCUUCCAACCGCCUUUGUUUUAACAAGGAAAGAACAUAUAUCCAAUGUUUAUUUGUGGAUGUACAUGAACAGUAUAAUUAAUAUUUUAACCCAAGUUAGAUUACAUUUUAGUUUCUUUUUAAAUUGGGCCACAGAGUUGUAUUACUCUUGUUGAUGUCCUAUUGGCUGAGGAAUAAGUAUUCCGACUGAUCGUGCUGGUCUAGGAAACCUCCAGCAGUCCAAGGACUUAAACUAUUUGUGUCACUGACCUGUCUGACUUGGAUGAUCUCUGAAGUAGUUCUGACUGUUGUAGGGUGCCUAACACACCAAGCACUUUCCUUUUAACUGGAAAUGUUAUUUUUUUAACCUAGAGUGAAGAUCUCAUUCUGCAGCCACAGGGUGAAAUGUUAGCUGUGGCCUGGCAGGAAUUUUAGAUAUUGUUUUGGCAGGCAGUUUAAUCUGUGGUAUCAUUUUUGAAAGAAAGUCAAAAAUAGUCAGCAGGUAUAUGCCCUGGUGUUUACAGUUGAAUGUUUCUACAUUUGGAAACUUCAGAGGAAUGUGCUGAGUGGCCAAUAAAAACGCUCACUCUCCUAACACACUGACAGUGGUAUUCCUCCAGUGCCUUUUCAUAGCUGCUGUGGGUGUAACCAAUGCAGUGAAUGACGUUAAUCCAGGAGGUUUCCAUCUGUGCAAAUCAUAGGCAGCAAACAGCACCAUGCUGUUUGCACUAGGAGGAACUACACAAGCUCUGCUGGGUAGGACUGAACCAACAUUUCUUCAACAUCCAUAUCCAUAUAAGUUUGAAAUACCAAAGACUGGUUAUCAAAUAUAUGUA